GACGAACGCUGGCGGCGUGCUUAACACAUGCAAGUCGAACGGAAAGGCCCUGCUUUUGUGGGGUGCUCGAGUGGCGAGCGGGUGAGUAAAACGUGAGUAAACUGCCCUUGACUUUGGGAUAACUUCAGGGAACUGGGGCUAAUACCGGAUAGGAGCUCCUGAUGCAUGGUGGGGGUUGGAAAGUUUCGGCGGUUGGGGAUGGACUCGCGGCUUAUCAGCUUGUUGGGGGGGUAGUGGCUUACCAAGGCUUUGACGGGUAGCCGGCCUGAGAGGGUGACCGGCCACAUUGGGACUGAGGUACGGCCCAGACUCCUACGGGACGCAGAAGUGGGGAAUAUUGCACAAUGGGCGGAAGCCUGAUGCAGCAACGCCGCGUGCGGGAAGACGGCCUUCGGGUUGUAAACCGCUUUCGCCUGUGACGAAGCGUGAGUGACGGUAAUGGGUAAAGAAGCACCGGCUAACUACGUG
rnacentral:rRNA from 1 species